CGUAAACUUUUACUUACAUUAAAUCGCCAGGGAACUACGAGCUAAGCUUAAAACCCAAAGGACUUGACGGUACCCCAUAUCCCCCUAGAGGAGCCUGUCCUAUAAUCGAUAAUCCACGUUUAACCUCACCAUUUUUUGUUAAUCAGCCUGUAUACCUCCGUCGCCAGCUUACCACGUGAGCGAUUUUUAGUGAGCUUAAUGUUUUUACACCAACACGUCAGGUCAAGGUGCAGCAAAUGAAAUGGGAAGAGAUGGGCUACACUUUCUAUUCUAGAAAAAACGAAAAACUAUUUAUGAAAAUCUAGUUGGAAGGCGGAUUUAGCAGUAAAAAGAAAUCAACAUGUUCAUUUUAACCCGGCACUGGGGUGUGU
rnacentral:rRNA from 1 species